UUGAAGCCUCUUUGUUUAUAUUUUGGUACAGAGAAGUAUAUGCAGAUUUUUAAUGCUGCUGCCCUUAACUACAAAGCUGUUAUUAAAUUAAUUGGAUAAUUAUAAUAGUGUUAAGUACAAUAUGCUUUUGAUUGCAUGUGGGCACAGUGGCACUCUCAGUUUGUACAAUUGUACUACAAGUAUGCAAUAGGUGAUAUGCAGUACAGUAGUUGGGGUAUGAAAGUAGGAGAGAAUUUUGGUACUACCAUUUGUACUGCUAUACUAUUUUUUAUGUCAUUUGUCCUUCCAUUAAAGUUGUGGGCAAUUGGGCACGCAACACAAUUCAUUGACCCACUAACCAUUUCUGGGAAAUUUAUGCCUACUAUAUAUGUUUCUUGCUCUUCUGGUUUAAGCAGCAAAGCAGGUGGUGUUUUGGUUGAGGAUUUUGUGUGCUUCUGAGGUUAUCUCUGAUGUGGCAGUCUUUCUAUUAAAAAAUAAAGACUUUAUUACAAUAUUAAAGCACACACAAAGAGUCAAUAUCACCCUCCACUGCAACUGGAUGUCACUAGACAACAAGGUCUAGGCAGAACAUUUUUUCUUAUUAUUAUUAGAUACGAGCUUUAUGAUGUAUUGUUAGACUUCUGUUAAAUUUAUUACCGUCUUAUACAUAUUGUAUUAUUGUGUGCGAUUUUAUCUCUUUAUUUUGUAUUAGCGUGAGUUUUUGACUUUUAGCCAUUCAAUUAAAUACAAUUGACUAACUAUAUUAAAUUAUUAAUAAGGAUUUAUUUUUUGAAAUGCUUUUGCCUUACCUUUUUCUGAAAAUGACAAAAUAAGUAUUGUUGUCAUAUUAAUUGAGUUGAGAAAAUAAGGAAAAUGACAUGUGACAACAUAGUUCAUAUCUAUUUUCCUGUUUUCAAAAAAAAAAAGAAGGAAAUUUCCUAUUAAAUAACAGAAUAUUUUGAGCAAAACAUUUUCCAAAUAGUAUUUUGAGUAAAUUUUAUUUUUGGUCAUUGACUAUUAUAAAUGUCUCUUUUUUUGUCUUGAUUUUUAAAUUGAUUAGAUUUAGGUUCCAUUUGAAAAUCCAUAAAAUAUUUUUCAGAAUAUGAUUUACGAAAAAAAUUACUCAUAUUUUAAUUGAAUUUUAAAUUCAAUUUUUGAAUGCCAUUAAUGCUAAUGAAUUUCACUUCUCAUAUAAAUACAUGUGGUUGUGAAGUUUAUUUGUGAACUCCAGUAAUAAAAAAACAAAUAGAGCUUGUUGGUGCACGGUGCACCUUUCGCCCACCAAUAGCGCACAACAGGUGCCUACAGUGCAAAAGGCAACAGAUUAGUGAUCUCGACUUAGUGAAUCUUUUCUUCCAUUAUGAACUGUUGGCACUAGUUUUACAUUUUGUCUUCGUGGACCAAGGAGGAAGAGGGUUCGAUGGGAAGAGAAGUGUAUGGGGAGAGAAGUAAGGAGGUCAACCUCUUUCAAUAUAGUUGGCCUAUCAUGUUGAUCCGAAUGGAUCAUCCUUUCCACAAAGGUCAAGCUUUGCCUACUAAGCAAGAGGAUAGCAAGUUACAAAUUCUGUCUCGACAAGAUAUGUAUUUCUAUUACUAUAAAAUUCAUAAAUGUAGUUAAUGGUGAAAUUGCCAUUAUCCUUUUUGUAGUAUUGAAUCUUGUAUGUGUUCUUAAAAAAAAGGAAUUUAUCCAACUUUCGAGGUCUUAAAGGGACUG